rnacentral:misc_RNA from 1 species
GAUGAAGAACGCAGCGAAAUGCGAUAAGUAAUGUGAAUUGCAGAAUUCAGUGAAUCAUCGAAUCUUUGAACGCACAUUGCGCCCCUUGGUAUUCCGGGGGGCAUGCCUGUUCGAGCGUCAUUUCAACCCUCAAGCUCUGCUUGGUAUUGGGCACCGUCCUUUGCGGGCGCGCCUCAAAGACCUCGGCGGUGGCGUCUUGCCUCAAGCGUAGUAGAAUACACCUCGCUUCGGAGCGUAAGGCGUCGCCCGCCGGACGAACCUUCUGAACCUUUCUCAAGGUUGACCUCGGAUCAGGUAGGGAUACCCGCUGAACUUAAGCAUAUCAAUAAGCGGAGGA